AACUCAGCGUUAUUAUUAUACUACAUUAACACAAUCCAAUGCCAAUGACUUACCUAACCCUGUAGUUUUAGUGAUUUAGUAUUUUUCAAACCCGUAUUGUAUAGCGUGCAUAACUUGGGUCAAUGCCAUACCUACGACGCGGCAUUGACUUCGAGUGCCUAUUUACGGAACUUUCGUUGACCUCUAGUGUCAGUCAGAUGUUUUAUUUGCAGUAUAUUGUGAACUUUAAAAAUACAGGAUUUUAAAUUUUUUUUCGUAGGUUUUUAUGGUAUCUUAUCAGUAAUCAUCAGUACUAUCACCUGUCUACGUUUUUGAUAGCGUUCUGGUUGCAACCUGUAUACCUUUUAAUUUUUGUUGCAUU